AGGAUAUCAGAAAUCAGCACGCCAGCAAAUGACAAAACAACUGGAUCAAGCCCAACUGUAUGACGGCUGGCACACUUCCCACCCAACUGAUAAAGACUAUUCAUAUUAUUCACACGUAUCUCACGUAUAUUCCAGACUGGACAUGUUCUUUGUCCCACAUAGAUUCCUACACCUUAUCCAAACCAGCAGCUACGGCUCAAUAACAUGGUCAGACCACGCACCCCUAUCCCUAGACAUACAAAUCCCCACUCUACCACACAAAUCAUUCCAAUGGAAACUAAAUGAUCUUCUCCUAAAUAAUCCAGAGGUAGUUUCCCACAUAACAUAAUCCCUCCAUACCUACUUCGCUACAAACACAACUCCCGAUAGCCCCCCCCCCGAUUACAUGGGAGGCACACAAAUGUGUAAUGAGGGGAGAGCUGAUCGCGCUGGCGUACAGACAAAAGAAAUUAAGAGAAGCUGACCUCCAAACCCUUCAAAGAGAAAUUAGAGACCAUGAAAAUAAACACAAACAGGACACGAG